GUGCCAGCAGCCGCGGUAAUACAGAGGGUGCGAGCGUUAAUCGGAUUUACUGGGCGUAAAGCGCAUGCAGGUGGUUUGUUAAGUCAGAUGUGAAAGCCCGGGGCUCAACCUCGGAAUUGCAUUUGAAACUGGUAGGCUAGAGUACUGUAGAGGGGGGUAGAAUUUCAGGUGUAGCGGUGAAAUGCGUAGAGAUCUGAAGGAAUACCGGUGGCGAAGGCGGCCCCCUGGACAGAUACUGACACUCAGAUGCGAAAGCGUGGGGAGCAAACAGGAUUAGAUACCCCCGUAGUCC
rnacentral:rRNA from 1 species